GGACGCCUUAGAGGGUGAGAGCCCCGUACGGUUGGACACCAAGCCUCUGUAAAGCUCCUUCGACGAGUCGAGUAGUUUGGGAAUGCUGCUCUAAAUGGGAGGUAAAUUUCUUCUAAAGCUAAAUAUUGGCCAGAGACCGAUAGCGCACAAGUAGAGUGAUCGAAAGAUGAAAAGCACUUUGAAAAGAGGGUUAAAUAGCACGUGAAAUUGUUGAAAGGGAAGCGUUUGCGACCAGACCUUUUCCUGGCGGAUCAUCCGGUGUUCUCACCGGUGCACUUCGCCAGGUUGAGGCCAGCAUCGGUUUCCGCAGGGGGAUAAAAGCUUGGGGAAUGUGGCUCCUCCGGGAGUGUUAUAGCCCCUCGCAUAAUGCCCUUGCGGGGACCGAGGACCGCGCUUCGGCAAGGAUGCUGGCGUAAUGGUCGUCAACGACCCGUCUUGAAACACGGACCAAGGAGUCGAACAUUUGUGCGAGUGUUUGGGUGUCAAACCCUCACGCGUAAUGAAAGUGAACGGAGGUGAGAGCCCUCGCGGGUGCAUCAUCGACCGAUCCUGAUGUCUUCGGAUGGAUUUGAGUAGGAGCAUAACUGUUCGGACCCGAAAGAUGGUGAACUAUGCGUGGAUAGGGUGAAGCCAGAGGAAACUCUGGUGGAGGCUCGCAGCGGUUCUGACGUGCAAAUCGAUCGUCAAAUCUGCGCAU
rnacentral:rRNA from 1 species